AAACUAACAAGGAUUCCCCUAGUAACGGCGAGUGAAGCGGGAAGAGCUCAAAUUUGAAAUCUGGCAGUCUUCGAUUGUCCGAGUUGUAAUCUAUAGAGGCGUUUUCCGUGCCGGACCGUGUCCAAGUCUCCUGGAAAGGAGUAUCAAAGAGGGUGAUAAUCCCGUACUUAACACGACCACCGGUGCUCUGUGAUACGUCUUCUACGAGUCGAGUUGUUUGGGAAUGCAGCUCAAAAUGGGUGGUGAAUUCCAUCUAAAGCUAAAUAUUGGCGAGAGACCGAUAGCGAACAAGUACCGUGAGGGAAAGAUGAAAAGCACUUUGGAAAGAGAGUUAAACAGUACGUGAAAUUGUUGAAAGGGAAACGAUUGAAGUCAGUCGUGUUCUUUGGAUUCAGCCAGUUCUGCUGGUCUACUUCCUUUGAACGGGUCAACAUCAGUUUUGUCCGGUGGAUAAAGGUAGUAGGAAUGUGACUUCUCCGGAAGUGUUAUAGCCUAUUAUCACAUACACUGGGUGAGACUGAGGACUGCAGCUCGCCUUUAUGGCCGACCUUCGGGUACGUUCGAGCUUAGGAUGUUGACAUAAUGGCUUUAAACGACCCGUCU
rnacentral:rRNA from 1 species